rnacentral:misc_RNA from 1 species
AUAAACUCAAUGUGGAUCUCAUGAGUGAGUUUCAUGUUGGAUGUGAGCGUUGCUGUUGAUCUCAGCUCGCUUGAAAUGCAUCAGCCGGUUUCACGACGGGCUCGCCGCUCAGGCUUUGCGUGAUAAAUCUCCUUCUCAAAGGUGUGAUCGCUCUGCUUGCUUGGAUGUUGCCCUCUGGAACGGACCAACUCAUUUAUUGUUGAUGUCUUUCGGAUGUCGACCUUGA